rnacentral:sRNA from 1 species
UUGAUAUUUUGAGUACAAAGGAUUACUUUUAACUCAAAUAUAUCCAUGAAAGCCCUCUUGGCCCAAUGAUUAACCAAAGGUUCAUUAAUGCUUCUAUACCAAAAGGUCUAGGAUUCGAGUCCCAGCUACUGCGAUUUAUUAGCAAAUUUGCAUAUUAAUGGAGACAAGUGUGCAGGAGGUCUACAACGAUGUACAAUUAUAGUUGUUCGCCAAGAUUCUACGCAGAGAAGAUAUUGAAGGUGUCCAUCAAGCGCAUGGAAAAGAAGAAGAAUGUGUCGUCUCUCUUGGAUCUAAUAAGGGUCGGAAGGAAUUGUCCGUGGUAGAAUCGUCUAUGUAACAGUUCUCAUUAUUUAUAAUAAAUAAUAAAUCUAAAACGGCAAAAAAAAAACCAAAUAUACCCAAAUGUAUAUGAAUUACU